CCUCUUGGCUGGGUAGGUUUCAGUCUCACGGCGGGAGGCGCACAUGUACACACACCCCUAAACCCACGCAGACGAAACCCCUCUGUGGAGAAGACAGUGACAGGAAACUCACUUCUACACAGGAACUUGCUAAUCGCUUUUGUCACUUUUGGAGUGUUCCUGCUGCUGCCUGAGUCACCUCGAACACUGAGGCCCACUACCUCAGGCUGGACUCUUCCAGUCCAGUGUUGCUGUCCUUCCAGUGUGACUCACUCUCUCUCCUCACUGAGGAGAGAGAAGUGGAUCCCAGGAGGAACUCAGCGCUGAUAGGGCUUCAGCUACAUUGACUUUUACAGGGCUGUGGGGAGCAACUUAGACUUCCGGAGUCAGUCAUCUUGGUGUUGAGACGUUCUUUUGGCAUUCUACGACAGGACUUUAUUCCCCAAGGUUCAAGCUUCUGGGGCCUGAGCUUCAUGCAGUCACAUCAUGAUGUCUUCCUGUGGAUUGAACAUUACUUCCCACCGAGAAGUCAAUCACGUCUAUAAAGAAAAAAGUGAAGUUGCCCAAAGUGCCUGCAAUCCACUAGAACCUGAGGCCACACACGCCCAGCUGCCUUCACCUAGCUGCCUUCCUGUUUCUUAGCCAGUUAAGAGCUGUUCACAAGUGUCAUUUACACACCAGUUGGCAACCAAGCUUCAGAGGUUUUUCCAAGCAGCUGCUGUCUCUCACCUGGGCGGACAGGAGAAGUAACAUCUAUAAUUGAUGUCUGAGAUUCUGAGAACAUAAACCCUGGUUGCUGUCUUCUUACUAGAUGGAGCCUGCAGCAGCAGCCCAUUGAGGGUACUUUCCUUAGGAUCCUGGACUCAUAAG
rnacentral:lncRNA from 1 species